GCCUCACAUCCACUCUCACUGAACAGCGAGAGGGAAAACCAGCCCUGCUCUGCAGCCUGGCUGCAAAGAUCUAGAGCAGAGAGUGACCCACUGCAUGCUGACAGCUGAAAUUUAGCCUGGCAGACCUAGAAGUGACAAAAAACACCGGGAUGCUUCACUGUGGAGGCUUUUGAAUUAAUUGAACCCUGGGAUCAGAAGAACUGGGCAACAGAGUUGGAGGCAUUUCUAUAACAACCAAAGGAGACCAGUAGGAACACAACAGAUUUGCUGGGUCCAAGAGGGAGAGGCAGUAAUGGAAC